GUGGGGAAUAUUGGGCAAUGGGGGCAACCCUGACCCAGCGACGCCGCGUGGGUGAAGAAAUCCCUCGGGAUGUAAAGCCCUGUUGUAUGGGAAGAGCAGAAGACGGUACCAUACGAGGAAGCCCCGGCAAACUACGUGCCAGCAGCCGCGGUAAUACGUAGGGGGCAAGCGUUGUCCGGAAUUACUGGGCGUAAAGCGCACGCAGGCUGAAUUAUAAGUCGGUAGUCAAAUACGGAGGCUCAACUUCCGGAUAUCUAUCGAUACUGUAAAUCUAGAGUAUGUGAGAGGAAAGGGGAAUUCCCAGUGUAGCGGUGAAAUGCGUAGAUAUUGGGAGGAACACCAGUGGCGAAGGCGCCUUUCUGGACUGUGUCUGACGCUGAGAUGCGAAAGCCAGGGUAGCGAACGGGAUUAGAAACCCUUGUAGUCC
rnacentral:rRNA from 1 species